AAAUUCAAAGAAACCUCAGAGAAAUUUCAAACAAACAAUAAGAAUUCUUAAAGAAAUAUUAGAAGGAUCACAAAUAUCACUCAAAUACAUCUCAAUUCAAUCUUAAUUUAAUUCUAAUUAAAAUCCUAUUAAACUUCACUCAAACUUUAGGCCAAAACUAAUUGAAUCUUAAAUCCUAAUAAAAUAUUAAACCCUAAAUCAAACCCUAAACAAACCUUAAACCAAACCCAAAUCAAAUCCUAAACCAAAUUCUAAUCAAACUCUAAAUCAAACCCUAAACCAAACCCUAGUAAUUCCUACAAAAGAUUUAAACCUCAAUAAUUAAUGAAUAAACCGUUGAUCUUAACUCAAAUUUUUCACAUUUUUAAAAAAAUAAGUUAAAAACAAGCACAAAAAAAUUAAAAAGGAUCCGACUUACCAAAUUGAUGAUAAUUUCAAAAAUAUGCUCAGAUAUUGGUCGGCCUCCUUCUUCAAUCUUGAUGCCAAUCUUCCAGAGCCAAUAUCUCUUUUUGUACAAUUCGAUUGAUUUCAAAAUUCUUAUAUACAUAGAAAAACAAGUCUAAUAUCCUCUCAUGCAAGUUUCACUCCAAUCCAACUAGUAGAUUGCAAGAAAUCUUAAAAACCCCCAC
rnacentral:lncRNA from 1 species